CGAAUCCAUUUUUUUUUAACUCCCCUCCGGACUCCACUACAUCUAAUUGUCCACCUAGUUACCUCCAAAUACCCCUAAGCCCUUCAUAUAUCCUAGGUCCUUGGCGCCACCAUCUUUGUUUGGGUAGAUGAAGUCCCUGUGGGACACAUUAUCUGCCCACACUAGAUAGCGCUGAUGAAGUGUUUAACUGGGCAUGCGAAC